UACGGGAGGCAGCAGUGGGGAAUAUUGCACAAUGGGCGCAAGCCUGAUGCAGCCAUGCCGCGUGUAUGAAAAAGGCCUUCGGGUUGUAAAGUACUUUCAGUCGUGAGGAAGGUGUUAAGGUUAAUAACCUUAGCAAUUGACGUUAGCGACAGAAGAAGCACCGGCUAACUCCGUGCCAGCAGCCGCGGUAAUACGGAGGGUGCGAGCGUUAAUCGGAAUUACUGGGCGUAAAGGGCACGCAGGCGGUUAAUUAAGUUGGAUGUGAAAUCCCCGGGCUUAACCUGGGAAUGGCAUUCAAGCUGGUUAGCUAGAGUCUUGUAGAGGGGGUAGAAUUCCAUGUGUAGCGGUGAAAUGCGUAGAGAUGUGGAGGAAUACCGGUGGCGAAGGCGGCCCCUGGACAAAGACUGACGCUCAUGUACGAAAGCGUGGGGAGCAAACAGGGAUUAGAUACCC
rnacentral:rRNA from 1 species